GAUGAACGCUAACGGCAGGCCUAACACAUGCAAGUCGAGGGGCAGCACAGAAACAGCAAUGUUUUGGUGGCGACCGGCGGACGGGUGCGUAACGCGUAUGCAACCUACCUUUAACAGGGGGACAACGGAGAGAAAUUUCCACUAAUACCCCAUAACAUCGAUCAAGGCAUCUUGAUUGGUUGAAAACUCCGGUGGUUAAAGAUGGGCAUGCGUUGUAUUAGGUAGUUGGUGAGGUAAUGGCUCACCAAGCCUACGAUACAUAGGGGGACUGAGAGGUUAGCCCCCCACACUGGUACUGAGACACGGACCAGACUCCUACGGGAGGCAGCAGUGAGGAAUAUUGGUCAAUGGGGGCAACCCUGAACCAGCCAUGCCGCGUGCAGGAAGACGGCUCUAUGAGUUGUAAACUGCUUUUAAACAGGGAUAAAGCACAGUAUGCAUACUGUGUUGAAGGUACCGUAAGAAUAAGCACCGGCUAACUACGUGCCAGCCGCCGCAGUAA
rnacentral:rRNA from 1 species